CUGCCCUUGGAGAAAUGUGGAUGGUUUGUGAGUUGGUCCAUGCCAAGAUUCCUUCCUGUGAAGGUUCUACUUGUCUUUAUUUCAUCAAAGGCUCUGGGCAGGAAAAGAAGACCCCAGUUAUAUUUAUCAGACACGGAUCUUUCUCCUUGCAGGAAGGCACUAAGGUGAACAGUUCUGGAUUCUCACGCCUUGGCUGUGAUAUCCUUGGUCUGCUCCAAAAUCAGCCUCUUGGUAUGGUUCCUUUGGCUGGGGGCUCCAUAUGGUGUGUGUGCGUGUAGGGCAAGAGGGGGAUGAGCUCAUAGGUCUUUCCCAGGCUCAGAUUUCAGAAAUUAAUUCCAGGAGCAGCCGUGGGCCUGAUGCGAUUGACAAAGAUAGCACUUGUGGCCCAGGACAAUAGAAAGGAGGCACGUCCCAGAGACAACUAGGCCUGUAUUGAAGACACCAAAGGACCCGAGUCCUGGGUCCCAACAUCCACACACCUAAGUUUCUCUUUCUCUCUC